GAUGAACGCUGGCGGCGUGCUUAACACAUGCAAGUCGAACGAUGAAGCAGAGCUUGCUCUGUGAAUUAGUGGCGAACGGGUGAGUAACACGUGAGUAACCUGCCCUUGACUCUGGGAUAAGCACUGGAAACGGUGUCUAAUACCGGAUACGACCCUCGAAGGCAUCUUCAGGGGGUGAAAGAAUUUCGGUCAAGGAUGGA
rnacentral:rRNA from 1 species